rnacentral:misc_RNA from 1 species
AGGUUUGGUAUAGGAUCUUUUCCCAA